CCUCCGGACAUUUUCCACCCACUCAACUAUCUGUUUAAUACGAGCGAAAUUAUAAAUAAAUGAAUGGUAAAACAGGCGACUAAAGAUAAGGAACAUAUAAUAAAAAAGAAAUAUGGGAAGUAAGAAAGAAAGAGGGAAACGGGGGUAGUUUUUGGAUGCCCUGUGCGCGUUCCCGAGGCCCUUCGACUUUCCAUCCCAGAUACGAUAAACGCGGUGAGCAGCGCCUUCACAGCAUUUACGAUUAAUUUCAUAAUCCAGUCUGGUAGUUUUAAGAAGCGAGUUCUUGCACUGCCCUCCUUGCCUCGGCGGGGUAAGGAGCGCCAGCGAGCCCAAGGUCUCCCUGGCGAGCGUGGCAGCGCUGGAGGGCUCCCCGAAGGACACCUUGGUGUUCCCCGGGGCGUCCGCGGAGGUACCGGGUAGAUGGGGCUCGUUAGCCGUGGUAGGCAGUCCAUCUAGGAGAGCAAACUCCGAACAACAAACCCGGGCAGGUGAGGCUCGUUAGCCGUGGUAGGCAAUUCGCCUAGGAGAGCAAACUCCGAACAACAAACCCGGGCAGGUGGAGGUCGUUAGCGUGAGCAGUUCACCUAGGAGAGCAAACUCCGAUUACAAACCCGGGCAGGUGGAGGUCGUUAGCGUGAGCAGUUCACCUAGGAGAAGGACAACUCUGAUUACAAACCCGGGCAGGCGGAGGUCGUUAGCCGUGGGAGGCAAUUCACCUAGGAGAAGGACAACUCCGAACAACAAACCCGGGCAGGUGGAGGUCGUUAGCCGUGGGAGGCAAUUCACCUAGGAGAAGGACAACUCCGAACAACAAACCCGGGCAGGUGGAGGUCGUUAGCCGUGGGAGGCAAUUCACCUAGGAGAAGGACAACUCCGAACAACAAACCCGGGCAGGCGGAGGUCGUUAGCCGUGGUAGGCAAUUCGCCUAGGAGAAGGACAACUCCGAACAACAAACCCGGGCAGGUGGAGGUCGUUAGCCGUGGUAGGCAAUUCGCCUAGGAGAAGGACAACUCCGAACAACAAACCCGGGCAGGCGGAGGUCGUUAGCCGUGGUAGGCAAUUCGCCUAGGAGAAGGACAACUCCGAACAACAAACCCGGGCAGGCGGAGGUCGUUAGCCGUGGUAGGCAAUUCGCCUAGGAGAAGGACAACUUCGAACAACAAACCCGGGCAGGCGGAGGUCGUUAGCCGUGGUAGGCAAUUCGCCUAGGAGAAGGACAACUUCGAACAACAAACCCGGGCAGGCGGAGGUCGUUAGCCGUGGGAGGCAAUUCGCCUAGGAGAAGGACAACUUC